UGCUGCUUCGCUGACGAGUGGCGGAAGGGUGAAUAAUGUCUGGGAAACUGCCUGAUGGAGGGGGAUAACUACUGGAAACGGUGGCUAAUACCGCAUAACGUCGCAAGACCAAAGAGGGGGACCUUCGGGCCUCUUGCCAUCAGAUGUGCCCAGAUGGGAUUAGCUUGUUGGUGAGGUAACGGCUCACCAAGGCGACGAUCCCUAGCUGGUCUGAGAGGAUGACCAGCCACACUGGAACUGAGACACGGUCCAGACUCCUACGGGAGGCAGCAGUGGGGAAUAUUGCACAAUGGGCGCAAGCCUGAUGCAGCCAUGCCGCGUGUAUGAAGAAGGCCUUCGGGUUGUAAAGUACUUUCAGCGGGGAGGAAGGUGUUGUGGUUAAUAACCGCAGCAAUUGACGUUACCCGCAGAAGAAGCACCGGCUAACUCCGUGCCAGCAGCCGCGGGAAUACGGAGGGUGCAAGCGUUAAUCGGAAUUACUGGGCGUAAAGCGCACGCAGGCGGUCUGUCGAGUCGGAUGUGAAAUCCCCGGGCUCACCCUGGGAACUGCAUUCGAAACUGGCAGGCUUGAGUCUUGUAGAGGGGGGUAGAAUUCCAUGUGUAGC
rnacentral:rRNA from 1 species